rnacentral:rRNA from 1 species
CGCAAUGNCGCGAAAGCCUGAGGCACGACGCCGCGUGUGGGAUGAAGUCCUUCGGGAUGUAAACCACUGUCAGGGACUACCAAGUGAAGAGGGCCAAUACCCCUCUAAGUUGAGGAGUCCCAGAGGAAGCCACGGCUAACUUCGUGCCAGCAGCCGCGGUAAGACGAAGGUGGCAAGCGUUGUUCGGAAUCACUGGGCUUAAAGCGCACGUAGGCGGCCUAUCAAGCGUCCUGUGAAAGCCCCCGGCUCAACCGGGGAACGGCAGGGCGAACUGGCAGGCUUGAGGCAGGUAGAGGCGAGUGGAACUCUUGGUGGAGCGGUGGAAUGCGUAGAUAUCAAGAGGAACGCCGGUGGCGAAAGCGACUCGCUGGGCCUGACCUGACGCUCAGGUGCGAAAGCCAGGGGAGCAAACGGGAUUAGAUACCCCGGUAGUCCUGGCCCUAAACGAUGUCCACUAGGUCGGAGGUUUUCUGACAAAUUUCCGGCCGGAACAAAAGCGUUAAGUGGACCGCCUGGGGAGUACGGUCGCAAGGCUAAAACUCAAAAGAAUUGACGGA